rnacentral:rRNA from 1 species
UACGGGGGGGGCAAGCGUUGUUCGGAAUUACUGGGCGUAAAGGGCUCGUAGGUGGCCAACUAAGUCAGACGUGAAAUCCCCAGGCUCAACCUGGGAACUGCGUCUGAUACUGGAUGGCUUGAAUUCGGGAGAGGGAUGCAGAAUUCCAGGUGUAGCGGUGAAAUGCGUAGAUAUCUGGAGGAACACCGGUGGCGAAAGCGGCUCUCUAGACCGAUACUGACGCUCAUACGCGAGAGCGUGGGUAGCAAACAGG